rnacentral:tRNA from 1 species
GGCCAGAUGUCUCAGUUGGUAGAGAACCUGACUAGAGAUUCAGGGGAUACAGGUUCAAAUCCUGGUCUGGUCU